rnacentral:lncRNA from 1 species
GGUAAAAUGCAGUUUUUGGCUUAUAACUCAAAAACCAGAGCAUUUUGAGGAAAUCUGACAUGGGAUAAAAAUGUUUAUCAGGUCAAGAUCUAUCUGCCCUGAAAUUUUCAGUUGAAUCAGUCAACCCGUUGUUGGGUUGCUGCCCCUGAAUUGGUAAUUUUGAGGAAAUUUUGCUGUUUUUGGUUAUUAUCUUGAAUAUUAUUAUAGAUAGAGAUAAAC